UACGGAGGUUGCAAGCGUUAUCCGGAUUUAUUGGGUUUAAAGGGUGCGUAGGCGGACCUAUAAGUCAGCGGUGAAAUCCAACAGCUUAACUGUAGAAUUGCCAUUGAUACUGUAGGUCUUGAGUAUAGCUGAAGAGGGCGGAAUGUGUUGUGUAGCGGUGAAAUGCUUAGAUAUAACACAGAACACCGAUUGCGAAGGCAGCUCUCUAAACUAUAACUGACGCUGAGGCACGAAAGCGUGGGGAUCAAACAGG
rnacentral:rRNA from 1 species